ACUGCUCAGUAACACGUGGACAACCUACCCUAUGGAGGGGGAUAACCCCGGGAAACUGGGGAUAAUACCCCAUAGAUUAUGGAUGCUGGAAUGCUCUGUAGUUGAAAGGUCCGCCGCCAUAGGAUGGGUCUGCGGCCGAUUAGGUUGUUGUUGGGGUAACGGCCCAACAAGCCUGUAAUCGGUACGGGUUGUGGGAGCAAGAGCCCGGAGAUGGAUUCUGAGACACGAAUCCAGGCCCUACGGGGCGCAGCAGGCGCGAAAACUUUACAAUGCGGGAAACCGUGAUAAGGGAACUCCGAGUGCCCGUUAAAUCGGGCUGUCCACCAGUUUAAAAAACUGGUGAAGAAAGGGCCGGGCAAGACCGGUGCCAGCCGCCGCGGUAAUACCGGCGGCUCGAGUGGUGGCCACUAUUACUGGGCUUAAAGCGUUCGUAGCUGGUUUGUUAAGUCUCUGGGGAAAUCUGCCGGCUUAACCGGCAGGCGUCUCAGGGAUACUGGCAGACUAGGGACCGGGAGAGGUGAGGGGUACUCCAGGGGUAGGAGUGAAAUCCUGUAAUCCUUGGGGGACCACCUGUGGCGAAGGCGCCUCACCAGAACGGCUCCGACAGUGAGGGACGAAAGCUGGGGGAGCAAACCGGAUUAGAUACCCGGGUAGUCCCAGCUGUAAACGAUGCGCGUUAGGUGUAUCGGUGACCACGAGUCACCGAGGUGCCGAAGAGAAAUCGUGAAACGUGCCGCCUGGGAAGUACGGUCGCAAGGCUGAAACUUAAAGGAAUUGGCGGGGGAGCAC
rnacentral:rRNA from 1 species